GCACUAAGCAGGCUUUUGAAACAUCACUCCUUUCUGCAAAUUUGGAAACAUUCAAAAAUUUUGGAUCUAACAUGCCCUGGGCUAUUUGCUUUCAUAAAAAUCCACAAGAAUCCUAUAGGGGCGAGGCUAAUAGUGGAGAAAAUGCCCACCUACAAUCUUGAAAAAAUACUGGCCAGAUGCAACUCAAUCUUAGGUAAAAGUAGAUAUUUGACCACCAAAACCAUUGAAGCACUAAACAGAAUAAAAAGGGCAGACUGGAGACAGCAUGACCUGGUAGUCACCUACGACUUCGAGAGCCUUGUACUUGUGUCUUAAAAUAGAACAAACAUGUUUGGCAUUCUACAGGUUGUUAUUGGCCACUACAGCAUCAGUCCAACAGAUAGCUUUGUACCUAAGUAUUUGCAACAAUUCAUACUCUGUUUCAGAGAGAGAUUUUAUUACCAGACCACAGGAAUGCCUAUUGGAAGUCCAAUGGCAGGCCCUAUGCCAGCAAUACUCUUGAAGUAUAGAAGAGCCAAUCCUCCAAAAGUUUGAGCCAAGCAUCAAAGUAUAUCUUAGAUAUGUGGAUGACAUCUCCACCCUGUGG
rnacentral:lncRNA from 1 species